rnacentral:tRNA from 1 species
GGACCGUGGCUCGGUGGUAAAGCAUUGCCCGGCGUGCGGAAGGCCCCCGGUUCGAUCCCCGGCAUCUCCA